GACGAACGCUGGCGGCGUGCCUAAUACAUGCAAGUAGGACGCAGUUGCGAACGGGUGAGUAACGCGUAGGUAACUACCUAUUAGAGGGGGAUAACUAUUGGAAACGAUAGCUAAUACCGCAUACUAGUAGAUGGACCUGCGUUGUAUUAGGUAGUAGGUAGGGUAAUGGCCUACCUAGGCAACGAUACAUCGCCGACCUGAGGAGGUGGUCGGCCAAGCGUGGACUGAGGCACGGCCCAGACUCCUACGGGAGGCCGCAGUAGGGAAUCUUCGGAAAUGGGGGGCACCCUGACCGAGCAACGCCGCGUGAGUUAAGAAGGUUUUCGGAUCGUAAAGCUCUGUUGUUAAGGAAGCGGUACUUAACCAAAAAGGGACGGCUAACUACGUGCCAGCAGCCGCGGUAAUUC
rnacentral:rRNA from 1 species